AUUGAACGCUGGCGGCAUGCCUUACACAUGCAAGUCGAACGGCAGCACGGGGGCAACCCUGGUGGCGAGUGGCGAACGGGUGAGUAACACAUCGGAACGUACCCAGUUGUGGGGGAUAACCAGUCGAAAGACGGGCUAAUACCGCAUGAUCUGGCGACAGCAAAGCGGGGGAUCGGCAACGACCUCGCGCGAUUGGAGCGGCCGAUGUCCGAUUAGCUAGUUGGUGGGGAAAGGCCCCACCAAGGCUUUGAUCGGUAGCUGGUCUGAGAGGAUGAUCAGCCACACUGGGACUGAGACACGGCCCAGACUCCUACGGGAGGCAGCAGUGGGGAAUUUUGGACAUGGGGGCAACCCUGAUCCAGCCAUGCCGCGUGAGUGAAGAAGGCC
rnacentral:rRNA from 1 species